AUACUUACCUGGGUGGGAGACACUGACAUCAUGAAGGUGGUUCACCCAGGCGAGGCUCAGCCACUGUACUUCGGGUUGUGUUGACCGCGCGAAUUCCCAAACGUGGGAAUCCCGACUGCAUAAUUUGUGGUAGUGGGGAUCGCUGUCCAUGCUUCCCUG